CAGCAGCCGCGGUAAUACGUAGGGUGCAAGCGUUAAUCGGAAUUACUGGGCGUAAAGCGUGCGCAGGCGGUUAUAUAAGACAGAUGUGAAAUCCCCGGGCUCAACCUGGGAACUGCAUUUGUGACUGUAUAGCUAGAGUACGGCAUAGGGGGAUGGAAUUCCGCGUGUAGCAGUGAAAUGCGUAGAUAUGCGGAGGAACACCGAUGGCGAAGGCAAUCCCCUGGGCCUGUACUGACGCUCAUGCACGAAAGCGUGGGGAGCAAACAGGAUUAGAUACCCGCGUAGUCCCUGUCUCUUAUAC
rnacentral:rRNA from 1 species